UAGGACAGUAGGUGAUGGAAGUUGUAUAGAGAUGGCGACUGAGAUAAUGAGAGUAGCUCAACAUAAAGAAGAUAUUAACCUGUGAAAACUCUACCAACAGUGAAAGGAAUAACUGAGAGGAUCACAUUUCCAGUCAUGAAGAGGAAAUGUCUUCGAGUUCUAGGUAGAGAAGAGACUACAAGAGAAUGAGAAAAUACAGCAACAAACCAGGAAUUUCUACUUAAAAUUCUGUCACACCCUAACCAAGAACAUAAAUGAACUCUUUGAUCUCUCUAAUCUUGGUUCUCAG
rnacentral:lncRNA from 1 species